rnacentral:rRNA from 1 species
GAGUUUGAUCCUGGCUCAGGACGAACGCUGGCGGCGUGCUUAACACAUGCAAGUCGAACGAUGAUGCCCAGCUUGCUGGGUGGAUUAGUGGCGAACGGGUGAGUAACACGUGAGUAACCUGCCCCUGACUCUGGGAUAAGCGUUGGAAACGACGUCUAAUACUGGAUAGGACUGCCGGCCGCAUGGUCUGGUGGUGGAAAGAUUUUUUGGUUGGGGAUGGACUCGCGGCCUAUCAGCUUGUUGGUGAGGUAAUGGCUCACCAAGGCGACGACGGGUAGCCGGCCUGAGAGGGUGACCGGCCACACUGGGACUGAGACACGGCCCAGACUCCUACGGGAGGCAGCAGUGGGGAAUAUUGCACAAUGGGCGAAAGCCUGAUGCAGCAACGCCGCGUGAGGGAUGACGGCCUCGGUGUAACUC